GAGGGUAUAGCUCAGAGGUAGAGUACUUGCCUAGCAUGCAUGAGUCCCUGGGUUCAAUCCCUACCACCA
rnacentral:tRNA from 1 species